rnacentral:rRNA from 1 species
UACAGAGGGGGCAAGCGUUAUUCGGAAUUAUUGGGCGUAACGGGCGCGUAGGCGGCCUGGCAAGUGGAAGGUGAAAUCCCUCGGCUUAACCGAGGAACUGCCCUCCAAACUGCUUGGCUUGAGUCCGGGAGAGGUGAGUGGAAUUCCCAGUGUAGCGGUGAAAUGCGUAGAUAUUGGGAGGAACACCAGUGGCGAAGGCGGCUCACUGGACCGGAACUGACGCUGAGGCGCGAAAGCGUGGGGAGCAAACGGG